rnacentral:rRNA from 1 species
UACGGGGGGGGCAAGCGUUGUUCGGAAUUACUGGGCGUAAAGGGCUCGUAGGCGGCCAACUAAGUCAGACGUGAAAUCCCUCGGCUUAACCGGGGAACUGCAUCUGAUACUGGAUGGCUUGAGUUCGGGAGAGGGAUGCGGAAUUCCAGGUGUAGCGGUGAAAUGCGCAGAGAUCAGGAGGAACACCCGUAGCGAAGGCGGCACUCUGGGCCGAUACUGACACUGAGGAGCGAAAGCGUGGGGAGCGAACAGG